UACGAAGGGGGCUAGCGUUGCUCGGAAUGACUGGGCGUAAAGGGCGCGUAGGCGGUUCGUACAGUCAGACGUGAAAUUCCCGGGCUCAACCUGGGGGCUGCGUUUGAUACGUGCGGGCUUGAGUUCGGAAGAGGGUCGUGGAAUUCCCAGUGUAGAGGUGAAAUUCGUAGAUAUUGGGAAGAACGCCGGUGGCGAAGGCGGCGACCUGGUCCGAUACUGACGCUGAGGCGCGAAAGCGUGGGGAGCAAACAGG
rnacentral:rRNA from 1 species